GGAAGGGGGGUUGGGAGCAGUGGGGGUUGGAGGGUGCAGAUAUUUGGGCUGCGGUGGCAUCUCGGCUCCCCCGCCCCUACCCCAACCUGCCCAUCAGCAAUUUGUGCCAAUCGAUUGAGUAGGGGAGGCGGGUGCUGUGAGCAACGCGGGCUGGCCAGGAACGAAGAGAUUUAGGAGCAAGAUCAGUGCACGCCGUUGCUGGGAUCUAGCUAUCCCGUAACCCUCCAUGUUCCCGUCCCCCUCCACCCCUUUCCUUUGGCUCCAGUUUGCCAGCACAGCGCCUGAGAAGGGAAAGCAGGCAGUGUGCCUUCCCGAGAUCCAGGCUGCCCUAACUUGUGCCACGCUUGGCGUAUAAUCCUCCUGCCUGGAAUAGCGCAGCAGCCUCUUUUGAGACGCAAGGGGAAGAUUCAGGAGGUGCAGCACAGAGAGUUUUCUCCUUCCCACCCUCCCCAUGUGCUUCAAUCCGGAGGGACCAUCCCGAGAGGCAAAGACGGGGUCCCCACAUGCUUCUCUUUUGAUCCGAGCUGCUUCUAAUGAAAAAUCAUCAGCUGCUCCUUUUUCUCAGAGAGAAGCCAGCUGGCCCUACAAGUGCUGUGAGGACACACACCGCACUAGCCGGCUGAAGGCAGACCGGGUGUUUUUUUCGUGUACACCAGGCCGUGAAACAAAUCUGCUGUCUCGAAGUAAAAUAAAUAGUUCAGCACCCUCAAAGCUGCGCGAUGAAGCCGCAGGGUGCAGAAGUUCACUGCAAAGAUAACAAAGGCAGGCGACCGCCGGCACCAUCGAAGGAAAAACAUUUCACAAAAAUAGACACGUCCCAGGCUGACGCUGCGGCUAUGUCUGGAGCGAUUUUAAUGGAUGAGUUAUAAACCCCUCUACAGUCAAGCCUUGUAAUGGAAAAAGUGACACAGCCUGAAUUCUGUGCGGUGCAGUGGUAGGAGCAGACCGGCACCCACCGGCUAUACAGACAGGAGAGACCAAGGGGAAAAAUGACCCACGUGUUAUGAAACUUUAUUUGUUGAUCAUAAAAGCUGGGUUGUUUUUACAAAAGUAAUGAGUGUGAAAGCUGCAUGAGUGAGACAGUGCUGCCUAGUGGCUGGAUUGGAACUCAGGAAGCCUGGAUGCUAUUCUUGGCUCUGACACUGGCCUGCUGGAUAACCUUGGGCAAAUCACUGCCCUCCCCAUCUGUGCCUCAGUUUCCCCUAUCUCUAAAAUGACCUCUCCUCUUUUGUAAAGUGCCUUCUGAUCUACUGAUGAAGAGCUAAGGGUUAGUAGUGCUCGACAUUGGGAUCUGUCAGGGAUGAUCUAGAUCAGGGGUGGGGAACCUAAGGCCUGGGGCCAACUGUGGCCCCUGGCUUGCCUGAUUCUGGCUCCCAAGGCUCAGGGUUCCCCUUCCAGCAUUGGGGAGCCUGCGCUGGUGCUCCAGCUCCCGCACUUCUCACUUGUGUGCGGCCCCCAACUGAUUUUUCUGUGGGACAGCGGCCCCCGGCCCAUAAAAGUUCCCCACCCCAAUCGAGACGGUAUUUGGUCCUGCCGUGAGGGCAGGGGACUGGACUCGAUGACCUCGCAAGGUCCCUUCCAGUUGUAGGGUUCUAUGAGGUUUCAAAUCUUACUCGGACAGGAUGACAGUGAUGUGCAUGCAUGUAUCCCCGCUCGGCCCGAGGAAGGGCGUGACGGUGGCAUUUAUUCAUGGUGGCCCUCCACACAGGCACGGCCAGC